rnacentral:rRNA from 1 species
UACGGAGGGGGCUAGCGUUGUUCGGAAUUACUGGGCGUAAAGCGCGCGUAGGCGGACCUGCAAGUCGGGGGUGAAAGCCCGAGGCUCAACCUCGGAACUGCCUUCGAUACUGCGGGUCUCGAGUCCGGGAGAGGUGAGUGGAAUUCCUAGUGUAGAGGUGAAAUUCGUAGAUAUUAGGAAGAACACCAGUGGCGAAGGCGGCUCACUGGCCCGGUACUGACGCUCAGGCACGAAAGCGUGGGGAGCAAACAGG